rnacentral:rRNA from 1 species
AUGCAAGUCGAGGGGCAUCAUUGGUACUUGUACUAGAUGGCGACCGGCGCACGGGUGCGUAACGCGUAUGCGACCUACCUACUACAGGGGGAUAGGUCCCGGAAACGGGAAUUAAUACCGCAUGACACUAUUUUGUUACAUGACAAGAUAGUUAAAACUUCGGUGGUAGUAGAUGGGCAUGCGUAUGAUUAGUUAGUUGGUGUGGUAACGGCACACCAAGACGAUGAUCAUUAGCGGGUCUGAGAGGAUGAUCCGCCACACUGGUACUGAGACACGGACCAGACUCCUACGGGAGGCAGCAGUGAGGAAUAUUGGUCAAUGGGGGGAACCCUGAACCAGCCAUGCCGCGUGCAGGAAGACGGCCUUCUGGGUUGUAAACUGCUUUUAUACAGGAGCAAAUAGUCCCUGCGGGGAAAGUUGAGAGUAUUGUAUGAAUAAGCACCGGCUAACUCCGUGCCAGCAGCCGCGGUAAUACGGAGGGUGCAAGCGUUGUCCGGAUUUAUUGGGUUUAAAGGGUGCGUAGGCGGUUUAUAAAGUCAGUGGUGAAAGUCUUCGGCUCAACCGGAGGAUUGCCAUUGAAACUUAUAGACUUGAGUACAGUAGAGGUAGGCGGAAUUUAUGAUGUAGCGGUGAAAUGCAUAGAUAUCAUAAAGAACACCGAUAGCGAAGGCAGCUUACUAUGCUGUUACAGACGCUGAGGCACGAAAGCGUGGGGAGCGAACAGGAUUAGAUACCCUGGUAGUCCACGCCGUAAACGAUGAGAACUAGCCGUUGGGCA